rnacentral:rRNA from 1 species
CCCUUAGAUGUUCGGGGCCGCACGCGCGCUACACUGACGAUGGCAACGAGUUUUUCCUUCGCCGAAAGGUGUGGGUAAUCUUUUGAAACAUCGUCGUGCUGGGGAUAGAUCAUUGCAAUUUUUGAUCUUGAACGAGGAAUUCCUAGUAAGCGCGAGUCAUCAGCUCGCGUUGAUUACGUCCCUGCCCUUUGUACACACCGCCCGUCGCUACUACCGAUUGAAUGGUUUAGUGAGGACUCCUGAUUGGCGCCGCCGCCCCGGCAACGGAGCAGCGGACUGCCGAAAAGUUGUUCAAACUUGAUCAUUUAGAGGAAGUAAAAGUCGUAACA